AGUGAACGCUGGCGGUAGGCCUAACACAUGCAAGUCGAACGGCAGCACAGUAAGAGCUUGCUCUUACGGGUGGCGAGUGGCGGACGGGUGAGGAAUACAUCGGAAUCUACUUUUUCGUGGAGGAUAACGUAGGGAAACUUACGCUAAUACCGCAUACGACCUACGGGUGAAAGCAGGGGAUCUUCGGACCUUGCGCGAUUGAAUGAGCCGAUGUCGGAUUAGCUAGUUGGCGGGGUAAAGGCCCACCAAGGCGACGAUCCGUAGCUGGUCUGAGAGGAUGAUCAGCAACACUGGAACUGGGACGCGGUCCAGACUCCUACGGGAGGCAGCGGUGGGGAAUAUUGGACAAUGGGCGGAAGCCUGAUCCAGCCAUGCCGCGUGGGUGAAGAAGGCCUUCGGGUUGUAAAGCCCUUUUGUUGGGAAAGAAAAGCAGCAGGUUAAUACCCCGCUGUUCUGACGGUACCCAAAGAAUAAGCACCGGCUAACUUCGU
rnacentral:rRNA from 1 species